CAGGAAGCCCAGCAUAAAAAGCAACUGAAAAACGCCCAAAGACAUUUCAUUUGUCGCCACUCGACUCACAGAAGCACAGAAAAUUAACAGCAAGGCCUUAGAGAAACGGCAAAAGCCAGGUUUAAAAUAAUUUGACACCAUGUUGGAGUCUUCCUCAAGAUUGCCCCAGCGGCCUGCGCGCUUGGCUGCCCCUGAGCGCGCGCGUACACCUGACGCGCACUUUUUCAACCGGUAGCUGGGGCUGUCCUCUUCACUGAUAUAUUCACAGUGAGGGACUUUGGCCACAGUCCACAAGCUUUCCUUUAAUCCUGCUGUCCUCCUGGCUGCCACUUACAACUUAAAGGGUCCAAGAACGUGGGAAAAGAAAGAGACUAUGAACCAAGUGCUUCUCUUCCACUCCUCCCUCUUCAUCUUUCAUGUGAUGGGCACUCCCCAGCUCCACACUCACCACGGGAGGAGGGUAUGUGGCCAAUCCUCUCUUCACAGCCACAGAAUCGUCAUGGCAACCCAGUCCUAUGCCCAAGCGGUGCACAAACCAUAUAUCACCUUGUGUAGCGGGCAUCGGCUGUGUAGCACAUACAAGUGAGUACUGUCUAGAUAGUACUCUUAAAUAGCAUCAGAAAAGUGAUUAUCAUAGGUAACGAGCCAGUAAUGUCAUGUAAUCGGGCUGUUGUGGGAUGUUUAUUUGAUUAAAGGGUGAAUAAGUAUUAGAAAAGCAGCCUUAAAUAAACAGCUUGUACAGAACUGGGUCUUGGUGGCACAUUUUUUGGGUGAAAUCUACUGUUGAUCUCAAGUAUUUUGUAUAAGUACGGGAAAUGAACAGCCUGCCCACAGAGACCGCUGUUGUGUUUAUUUUGGACUACAUCUCCCUCCACACUUUACAUGUUCUCAGGUCUGAUCACCCCCCAAACAUUCCCAUACUUUUUCAUCUCUUGCCAAACCAUAAAACAUCACAGUGUCAUUGUUUUGCAAUUCAAUGCUGAAGCCCCAAGAUUUAUAAGGGAUGUAAUUUGGUCUUUAUGAGUAGGAUUUUGAGUCAUGUUGUCUCAUAGUUUUUGUUUAUGUUUUGAUACAAUUCUCUGAUUGGGGUGCAUUCACAUAGUUCAGACAGUUCUUAGUUCAG